GGUAUGUCUGUGGUCGGCACGUCUGGUAGCAUUUCUGGCUGCUGUUGACCUUGUUUUUGGAGUAAAACACGGUGGAAGCUGAAUUAGUGAGGAUGACUCCUGCUCCUGUCAUCUCUAAGCUCCUCACACAUCUUUACCUGCACAUGAGGAAAAUCACUCCUGUAGAAUGCAGAUGUUCAGAGGGAGAUGAUGCCACAUCUGGUCCAGCCGAUGGAAGGUCUUGAAGAUCUCUGACUGGCCUCGACUGAAGAUGGUCUUCUCACUGGAUUUAAGGUUCAGAUGCUCAGUAACAAAUUCCACCAAUGUGCUAACAGGGAAGCUUUAGGUUUAUUAAAUGUUGCUAUGAAGGUUUCGCUAUUUUUCUUUGUGAAUGCAAUGUGCUCCAACUGAAACUUGAAUUAGAACUUAGAAGUAAAUCCUUCCAUCUGAAAGGAUUUAGUUGCAUUAAUAACCUCAUAACAUUCUAAUUUUUAUUUCAGUCUUGGCUGGAAAUAGAAUCUCUGUAUUGAUUCAGGUAAAAACUGAACUUCACAGCAUGUUGAAGCAAAACAACCAGAUGAAAACUGUGAUGGUGUUGGAUUGUCAGACCGUAAUGUUGCAGCUCAAAGCAGCUUUUCUAUCUCGGUUCAUUCUGACAUUCAGCUAUGAAUCAACACAGCAGAUGGUGAUCCAUGCUGUGGAAGUCUCACAUCUCCUGAUUUAAUGGAGCUGCUUUGUACUUUUUACACUGUUUAUUCACCAACACUUUAUUGAAUAAAAGUCCCAUCUAGUUUUUAUGAGGAAUGUGAUGUUUUAAUUUCUCUGUGAAUAACUGCAGUCUAAUGCAACAGCUGGAAUUGUAACAUCUGUGCUGAUAUUGAUCAUGAAGUAUUGAUCAGAAUACUUAUGGUUAGCAGUCAUCUCUGAAGUUUUACAUUAAAAUCUUUACUUGUGUUGUGAACUUUGGUAAGAAGCAGAAACUUUUGCGUUGCCAUGGAUAUAUGAGUGUUAAAUUCUGUCUAUGUUUUUAUUUUGGGAAAUGCAGUCCAGUUCCAGAAUAUGGAGGAAUUUAGUCUCAAUCACAGACAACAAAUAUCUGAAAGUGGGGUUAUUGUUGUUUAUCAGCACAAUACAAAAAGAUUAAUGUUAGAAAUAUUCCAGUUAAGACUCUAGAAUAUCAUGAUUUAUGUAAAUUUACCUCAAUAAUAUGAAUGUUCAGGUUAAGAUUGUACAUUGAUAUUUAUUAUGCAAGUUUAGCUGAUUAAAGUUUAUGACUCUGCACUAAAAUAUUAUUUAAAUUGACAUCAUUAUUAUAAUAUUCAGGGUCAGACCCUGCAGUAUUGAGAUUAAGAAAUCAAAUAUUCUAUAAAAUGUAAAUACACUGCAGUCAUUUGGAUAUAUUUAAGUGAGACUCUACAACAUUAUUUGACACAAAUCUAUCUAAAUCAAAAUUUUAAUAAUUUUCACGCCAAACAUUUACUAGACUGAUUUAAACAUUAAAAUCACUCCUUUCUAAUCCUCUGCUGUACAUUCAAACCUGAAGCCUUAAAUAGAAACACACAAGUAUCUGAUUGAAGGAACUUCUGUAGAGUCCUGGUUCCAGAACAUGAUGAUAGAAUUAUAGACAAACUUUAACAAAAGCUGCCUGAGAGUUUACAGGUUUUUAUGUUGGAUUUCUUCAGUAAUUUAAUAAGCGUUAUCAGCAAUAAUCAAGUGUUCAUUUGAUGAACUUGAUUUCCUAAAACAUACAGAAUUGGAGCUCAUAUCUUUGGCAGCUGUAAAGUUUCCGCUCCUUCAAAGUUCACAACACAAUGAAUGAAUUCCUAAAACACUCUCAAUGCUGGAGAGCGUUUGAUGCUGAAGCAGUGACCAGUUUUUCUGUUUCUUCUCUGGAGAUGCACAAUGAGGGACGUCUGCAGAGACUGAGAAAGAGUCUCACCACAUCCUGACAUGAGGAAAAAGACUUUAUUGAAGACUACAAUGAGAAAAACUAUCAGACAGCAGACAGCAUGCAUUCAAGUUUAGGCUGUUAAAUUGUUCCAGAUAAGACAAGUACAAGAUUCUUCAGAGCCGUUCUACCACGAGCCUGACAGGAAGAACUCCAACAGCUACUGAAUGUUCCUGUGGUUCCCUCAAGGCUACAGGAGGAGCCCUACGAGGACGAGCCGGUCCACCCGAUGGUGGCCAGUCGCUGCGGUUCAAAAGCCAACACCGACUACGUGGACUUCUACUGGACCACACGGAGGCCUUCAAACUGGACCAACAAGUUCACCGACUCCCCGACUCGUGGGUCUGAGGACGCCGCCGAGCCUCGGUCCAGCCGGCUGCCUGUCUGUGGGUGUUUGAGUGCUGAGAGGUUUCCCAGAGACUAUGGGUUGAGGAGGAAUUGGAAGUUUGUCGGCUUAGACCUGGUGUCAUUCCAUCAGUAUUAAACUUCCAGGCUCAUCUUGGAAGAGUACGUGCCAGAAAGAAAAUGACCAAGCAGCCUUGAGAUCUUAGGCAGCGUCUCCCUGAGUUCAAAGGUCCCUCUCUAUCUCCCCACACAUCCACCAACCACUGGAACACAUCUCCAAAGUUCUGCCGGGCCAGCUCAGCUUCCCCUCAGAAGAAGUUCCUCCACCUGCCAGAUGAAGGAGCCUUUUGAGAGGCAGCUGGCAUCGUGAUUGGACUGUACUUUGGUCUGUUCCAAUCCAGCUUCAGCUCCAGAGACGGCAGGCGGGACGAGUCAACGGAGGCCGGGUGGACGAAGGCAUGCAGCUGAGUACAAUCCAGAAAACAACAGAGGAGGAGUGCAGCGGCCCAGGGCCAGAACAAGCAGAGUAGCAUCGUAUGUCUCUUAGAAAACAUCAUAGUAUAGCCUUUGGUAUGAAAAAACGCCAUCAUAUACAUCGUAGAUUUUACAAAUAACAAGUCAAAGGAAAGAGACAUACAUUGUCGAAUUGUAGUAAUUGUGGGCUGACUGAUUUACUGAUUAUCAGUAUUUUAUUUUUUUACUGAUUUACGGUAAUAAAUACAUUUAAAAAUGGU